rnacentral:rRNA from 1 species
AAUGAACGCUGGCGGCGCGCCUAAUACAUGCAAGUCGAGCGAGAAGACGUAGCAAUACGUUUGUAAAGCGGCGAACGGGUGAGGAAUACAUGGGUAACCUACCCUAGAGUGGGGAAUAACUAGCCGAAAGGUUAGCUAAUACCGCGUACGCUCCUUGGACUUCGGUUCAGGGAGGAAAGCGAUGCCGAGGGUAUCGCGCUCUUGGAUGGGCUCAUGUCCUAUCAGCUUGUUGGGAGGUAACGGCUCACCAAGGCUUCGACGGGUAGCUGGUCUGAGAGGACGAUCAGCCACACUGGCACUGCGACACGGGCCAGACUCCUACGGGAGGCAGCAGUAAGGAAUAUUGCGCAAUGGGCGAAAGCCUGACGCAGCGACGCCGCGGUGGGGGA